GGUUGUAGCUCAGUGGCAGAGCAUUUGCCUAGCACGUAUGAGGUCCUGGGUUUGAUCCUUGGCACCA
rnacentral:tRNA from 1 species